GUUGUGCAUGUCUUCUUUGGAGAACCUCCAGUGAAACUUAGAUUCUUUUUUCUUUGCUUUCUGGGGCAAAGAAGGUCUCUGAAGAAAUACAAUUUGCUUUGUAGAUAAAUUCCCUUCCCUGUUUGUCUUCACAAUUGGAGUAGGAAGGACGCAUGUCAGCUGCCAGCCGUAUAUGGCAAGGGAAUUCAGCAGUGGAACAUAGUCUGUCUGCACUUCCACCCCCUUCAGUACAGUCCACUGCUCUACGACAAUAGCAUCAUAGCCCUGCGUGGUUUUAUUGUCUUCCACAGCAACGUCUUCAAAGAG
rnacentral:lncRNA from 1 species